GUCUGAAGGAGGAUUGCCAGGCC
rnacentral:piRNA from 1 species